rnacentral:rRNA from 1 species
CUACGGGUGGCACCAGUGAGGAAUAUUGCACAAUGGGGGGAACCCUGAUGCAGCAACGCCGCGUGGAGGAUGACGCAUUUCGGUGUGUAAACUCCUUUUAUAUGUCAGGAAAAUGACGGUAGCAUAUGAAUAAGCACCGGCUAACUCCGUGCCAGCAGCCGCGGUAAUACGGAGGGUGCAAGCGUUACUCGGAAUCACUGGGCGUAAAGGACGCGUAGGCGGGUUGGAAAGUCAGGUGUGAAAUCCUACAGCUUAACUGUAGAACUGCACUUGAAACUUCUAAUCUAGAGUAUGGGAGGGGGAGAUGGAAUUAGUGGUGUAGGGGUAAAAUCCGUAGAUAUCACUAGGAAUACCUAAAGCGAAGGCGAUCUCCUGGAACAUUACUGACGCUAAGGCGUGAAAGCGUGGGGAGCAAACAGAAUUAGAUACCCGGGUAGUC